rnacentral:rRNA from 1 species
AGCAGCCGCGGUAAUUCCAGCUCCAAUAGCGUAUAUUAAAGUUGUUGCAGUUAAAAAGCUCGUAGUUGAAUUUCGGGACCAAUUUGUUGGUCGUGCCUCGGUACGUACUGGUAUUAUUGGUUUCUCCCUUCUGAAGAACCUCGAUGCCAUUAAUUUGGUGUCGUGGGGAAUCAGGACUGUUACUUUGAAAAAAUUAGAGUGUUUAAAGCAAGCAUACGCUUGAAUACAUUAGCAUGGAAUAAUGAAGUAGGACGUUUGAUUCUAUUUUGUUGGUUUCUAGGAUCGACGUAAUGAUUAAUAGGGAUAGUUGGGGGCAUUAGUAUUCAAUUGUCAGAGGUGAAAUUCUUGGAUUUAUUGAAGACUAACUUCUGUGAAAGCAUUUGCCAAGAAUGUUUUCUUUAAUCAAGAACGAAAGUUGGGGGAUCGAAGACGAUCAGAUACCGUCGUAGUCUUAACCAUAAACUAUGCCGACUAGGGAUCGGAUGAUGUUAAUUUUUUAAUGACUCAUUCGGCGCCUUACGGGAAACCAAAGUGUUUGGG